rnacentral:rRNA from 1 species
AGCAACGCCGCGUGAGUGAUGACGGCCUUCGGGUUGUAAAGCUCUGUCUUCAGGGACGAUAAUGACGGUACCUGAGGAGGAAGCCACGGCUAACUACGUGCCAGCAGCCGCGGUAAUACGUAGGUGGCGAGCGUUGUCCGGAUUUACUGGGCGUAAAGGGAGCGUAGGCGGACUUUUAAGUGAGAUGUGAAAUACCCGGGCUCAACUUGGGUGCUGCAUUUCAAACUGGAAGUCUAGAGUGCAGGAGAGGAGAAUGGAAUUCCUAGU